AAAGGCCCUCGGGUUGUAAAGCCCUUCAGCGAGGAAAGAACGCCUAGUGGUUAAUACCCAUUAGGAAAGACAUCACUCGCAGAAGAAGCACCGGCUAACUCCGUGCCAGCAGCCGCGGUAAUACGGAGGGUGCAAGCGUUAAUCGGGAAUUACUGGGCGUAAAGCGCGCGUAGGUGGCUUGAUAAGCCGGUUGUGAAAGCCCCGGGCUCANCCUGGGAACGGCAUCCGGAACUGUCAGGCUAGAGUGCAGGAGAGGAAGGUAGAAUUCCCGGUGUAGCGGUGAAAUGCGUAGAGAUCGGGAGGAAUACCAGUGGCGAAGGCGGCCCUCUGGACUGACACUGACACUGAGGUGCGAAAGCGUGGGUAGCAAACAGGAUUAGAUACCCUGGUAGUCCACGCCGUAAACGAUGUCGACCAGCCGUUGGGUGCCUAGCGCACUUUGUGGCGAAGUUAACGCGAUAAGUCGACCGCCUGGGGAGUACGGCCGCAAGGUUAAAACUCAAAUGAAUUGACGGGGGCCCGCACAAGCGGUGGAGCAUGUGGUUUAAUUCGAUGCAACGCGAAGAACCUUACCUACCCUUGACAUCGACAGAAGCCGAGAGAGAUCUUGGUGUGCCUUCGGGAACUGUCAGACAGGUGCUGCAUGGCUGUCGUCAGCUCGUGUUGUGAAAUGUUGGGUUAAGUCCCGUAACGAGCGCAACCCUUGUCCUUAUUUGCCAGCACGUAAUGGUGGGAACUCUAAGGAGACUGCCGGUGACAAACCGGAGGAAGGUGGGGACGACGUCAAGUCAUCAUGGCCCUUACGGGUAGGGCUACACACGUGCUACAAUGGCCGGUACAAAGGGCAGCGAGCUCGCGAGAGUCAGCGAAUCCCUUAAAGCCGGUCUCAGUCCGGAUCGGAGUCUGCAACUCGACUCCGUGAAGUCGGAAUCGCUAGUAAUCGGAAUCAGAAG
rnacentral:rRNA from 1 species